GGACUACAGGCAUGAGCCACUGAGCCUGGCCGUUUGAAAUUCUUAAUGAUUUUUGAAAAAGAGGCGCUACAUUUUCAGUUUGCACUGGACUCUGCAGAUCACGGGGCUGGUCCUACCUCCAACAACGUCAGAGCUACUGCUUUCCCCCAGACCUCACCAGAAUGGAAUAUAAUCAUCUCAACCUUUUUGUUAUGGCUGUUAAUUUAAUAGGUGGAAAUGUGCGCCUCAGUUGUUUUAAUUUGCAUUUCUUUGAUUACUGGCCAGGUUGACUGUGUUUCCUCACAGUCUGUUUACUAACCAUGCUUCCUUUUAUGUGAGCCGCCUGUGUCCUUUGCCCAUUUAUGUUUUCAAAUGCCAAAAUAAGUUUCCUCUCUGUGGGAAUGAAUCAUCAAUUUUUUAAAUGUAUGGAGAGAAUGUUUUCUGCAGAAACAGCCUGGGGUUUCAGGAAGGCAGGCCCAGUUCAGGGGUGCCUUGGGAGCAAAGGUCCUGUCAUUCCAACACUAAGAAUUAGACCUUUACGAGAAGCACAGUUUUGUCUUCAGUUUCCUCUCCCCCCACCCGGAAUGGCCUGAGCCGAAGCCAGCUCCCUCCGAGAAGUCAUUACCGCCUGACUUGCGUUUGAUAUUUAGACACCUUGGUCACAACAUCUUGCAUUCUCUCGGGAUGCUGAUUUCUAACUGCUCUUUGGCCUUUCCUGCAUUGGUCCUCCUCAGGCAGGGGAUCCCUGCUCUUCUAUAUUAGUGAGUAUUGCUGUUGUAACAAACAGACCCAAACAUAAUGCAAGUUUAUGUCAUGCCUCAUUUAACACUGCAGGGCUGUUCUAGUUUGGGGUCAGACAUGGUGAGCGUGAGGGCAUCCUUCUCCAUGCAGUGGUUCAGAGAUUUUGGCUGAUGGCAGGCAUGCCAACUUUAAAUUGGCCUCCAAAGUCAUGCUGGAGAGCACCGUUAACCAGAA
rnacentral:lncRNA from 1 species